rnacentral:rRNA from 1 species
GCCCGUCACACCAUGAGAGUUGGAGAUACCCGAAGCCUGUGAGCUAACAAACGAGGCAGCAGUCGAAGGUAGAAUCAAUGAUUGGGGUGAAGUCGUAACAAGGUACC